UUCGGGUUGUAUGGUUAAGUGACUAAGCGUACACGGUGGACGCCUUGGCAGUCAGAGGCGAUGAAGGA
rnacentral:rRNA from 1 species